rnacentral:rRNA from 1 species
UUUAAGGGCUUGCUCUUAAAUUUAGUGGCGAACGGGUGAGUAAUAUAUCGGAACGUAUCCAAUAAUGGGGGAUAACUAAUCGAAAGGUUGGCUAAUACCGCAUACGCCCCGAGGGGGAAAGCUGGGGAUCUACGGACCUAGCGUUAAUGGAGCGGCCGAUAUCUGAUUAGCUAGUUGGUGGGGUAAAGGCCCACCAAGGCGACGAUCAGUAGCUGGUCUGAGAGGACGACCAGCCACACUGGAACUGAGACACGGUCCAGACUCCUACGGGAGGCAGCAGUGGGGAAUUUUGGACAAUGGGCGCAAGCCUGAUCCAGCCAUUCCGCGUGAGUGAAGAAGGCCUUCGGGUUGUAAAGCUCUUUCGCAAGGGAAGAAACGAUUUAGGUGAAUAAUCUAAGUUAAUGACGGUACCUUGAUAAGAAGCACCGGCUAACUACGUGCCAGCAGCCGCGGUAAUACGUAUGGUGCGAGCGUUAAUCGGAAUUACUGGGCGUAAAGCGUGCGCAGGCUGUUUUGUAAGUCAGAUGUGAAAUCCCCGAGCUCAACUUGGGAACUGCGUUUGAAACUACAAGACUAGAAUAGGUCAGAGGGGGGGUAGAAUUCCACGUGUAGCAGUGAAAUGCGUAGAGAUGUGGAGGAAUAUCAAUGGCGAAGGCAGCCCCCUGGGAUCAUAUUGACGCUCAUGCACGAAAGCGUGGGGAGCAUACAGGAUUAGAUACCCUGGUAGUCCACGCCCU